UUAUCUCCUUUAAUUUUGGUGUGGUUACUUUAAAUUAUAGAGAUAAUUGCGCUAUUUU
rnacentral:sRNA from 20 species